GGUUUCCAAGAGUGUAGGCUUUGCCUGCUAUCUCUUACCCAUGUCUUUUGAGUACCUUACGUUUCCUCGGCGGGUCCGCCCGCCGAUUGGACAAUUUAAACCAUUUGCAGUUGCAAUCAGCGUCUGAAAAAACUUAAUAGUUACAACUUUCAACAACGGAUCUCUUGGUUCUGGCAUCGAUGAAGAACGCAGCGAAAUGCGAUAAGUAGUGUGAAUUGCAGAAUUCAGUGAAUCAUCGAAUCUUUGAACGCACAUUGCGCCCCUUGGUAUUCCAUGGGGCAUGCCUGUUCGAGCGUCAUUUGUACCUUCAAGCUCUGCUUGGUGUUGGGUGUUUGUCUCGCCUCUGCGUGUAGACUCGCCUCAAAACAAUUGGCAGCCGGCGUAUUGAUUUCGGAGCGCAGUACAUCUCGCGCUUUGCACUCAUAACGACGACGUCCAAAAGUACAUUUUUACACUCUUGACCUCGGAUCAGGUAGGGAUACCCGCUGAACUUAAGCAUAUCAAUAAGCGGAGGAA
rnacentral:rRNA from 1 species